rnacentral:rRNA from 1 species
UGUAAGCGUAUACCAAAGUUGUUGCAGUUAAAACGCUCGUAGUCGGAAUUUGGCAGUUCCGGAAGUGUGCACGUCGUGUGCGCACUUUGCGGGGACUGCUUUUGUGGUCUUGCGUAGGAUGAGGCACUUUCAUUAGUGAACGUCCUCACGCAGCCACUCUUUACUGUGAGAAAAUCAGAGUGCUCAAAGCAGGCAUUUGCCGUGAAUGUAUUAGCAUGGAAUAAUAGAAUAGGACUCGGUUCUAUUUUGUUGGUUUGUUGGGACUGAGUAAUGAUUAAGGGGGACAGUUGGGGGCAUUUGUAUUCCGGCGCUAGAGGUGAAAUUCUUAGAUUGCCGGAAGACAAACUGCUGCGAAAGCGUCUGCCAAGGAUGUUUUCAUUGA